rnacentral:rRNA from 1 species
GACGUAGGGCGCGAGCGUUGUCCGGAUUUAUUGGGCGUAAAGAGCUCGUAGGCGGCCUGUUGCGUCAGCUGUGAAAACCCGCAGCUCAACUGUGGGCUUGCAGCUGAUACGGGCAGGCUUGAGUUCGGUAGGGGAGACUGGAAUUCCUGGUGUAGCGGUGAAAUGCGCAGAUAUCAGGAGGAACACCGGUGGCGAAGGCGGGUCUCUGGGCCGAUACUGACGCUGAGGAGCGAAAGCGUGGGGAGCGAACAGG